GCCGCGCAGGUGCGGCAGGUUCCCUUAGUGUGGUUGCAGUUCCGCGCGGAUCCACGCUACCACCCGACAUCCACGGACAUCCGCGCUGUCUCGGUGCCCGGGCCUCGCGAGCUCCCGGCUGCGUCGGAGACAGAUGAAGACCCUCCCUCGGACGGCUUUGCUGGGCCUGCCUCAGCCAGCGCCCCCUUCUGUCCUGCGGGUCCCUGACCCGCCCUGCCUGAUGCACCCCCACUGUGUGCAGGGGCUGAGGCUGUCCCCUGGGACUGCCACGUGGCUGCUGUUGCAUGAGGGGUGUCAUCAGGGGAGCCUGGACUGAGUCUCAGAUGGGUUGGUGUGUUGCACAGAGGUGCCGUGGGAGGCGUAAUCUUCAUGUCAGCCAGGCGCUGGACCCUGGGGCCCCAGACAUGUCCCAUGGGAGGCAGAGACCCUGCAGUGGUGCCGUCACUUAGGAAGUCUGAAGAUGCAGCCUGAUGCCCCUGAGAGGGAUGUCUGGCUCCCACAUAACAGGUCAGCUUCAGAUCCAGAAGGAAGUGCCAGGGCCAUGAGUCAGUGACCUUCAGGAUGACUUGGGAUCUGGGAUUGCUGGUAUUUCUUCAGCAAAGAUUCUCCUGUUGUUCAUGGACACCUGAGGCGCAGAGCAUGGAGAAUGAGGUCCCUGCUGGAAGCUUCCCCAGAGCUCCUUGCCACCUGCUCAUGGUUCUGUUCACUCCGCUUAGUGCUGGGCCUGGGGCUCAGGGUCCACUUCAUCUGGCUCUCCCUUGGAGGGCCGCAGGCAGGGAGGGCAAGUUCUACCCACCUGGAUGACUUCAGUGAACAAGUUUUUGCCUGCUGCUCAUUGCUUCCCCUCUGCCCACCCACCCAAUAAACUGUACAUAUUC